ensembl:lncRNA
GGAAAGGAUGAAUCCAAAAGAGUAGAAUACUCCCAGGGCUCAUCCCAUCUCCUAAAUGACCUGCUGAAGGAAAUGGAGAAUGCAGCGCGUGGGACUGACCAACAAACUGCACAGGACGUGCUGCAGGAAGGCAGCCAUCCCACGCUGCCAGUCUGGGACAGAGGAACGCAGAUAGCGCCAACGACUGGCAUGCCAGGGAUGAAUGCUGGGAAAAGCACAAAGGCUGCUGUUCACAAAUCUGUGCGAAAGCACCGCAUCGCAGCGAUGGUACUGUUCUCAGCUGUGCUGCUGUCUGCACUGUUGUUGGCCUGUGGUGCUGCGUUAUGGAUGUGCAAAAAAUACCUGUGAGUUGGCUUUUCC